UGCCAGCAGCCGCGGUAAUACGGAGGAUCCAAGCGUUAUCCGGAAUCAUUGGGUUUAAAGGGUCCGUAGGCGGUCUAACAAGUCAGAGGUGAAAUCCUACAGCUCAACUGUAGCAUUGCCUUUGAUACUGUUAGACUUGAGUUAUUGUGAAGUAGAUAGAAUAAGUAGUGUAGCGGUGAAAUGCAUAGAUAUUACUUAGAAUACCGAUUGCGAAGGCAGUCUACUACGUAUAUACUGACGCUGAGGGACGAAAGCGUGGGGAGCGAACAGGAUUAGAUA
rnacentral:rRNA from 1 species